rnacentral:tRNA from 1 species
GGGCCGUUAGCUCAACUAGGUAGAGCACCUGACUCUUAAUCAGUAGGUUACUGGUUCGAUUCCAGUACGGCCCA